AGGCCUUCAUCAGGCUAGGGUAGCUAUCCAGCACAACAAAGGCGGCCAUCACUGCGGCG
rnacentral:SRP_RNA from 10 species